rnacentral:rRNA from 1 species
GACAGAGGAGCCAAGCGUUGUCCGGACUGACUGGGCGUAAAGCGCCCGCAGGCGGCCGUGCACGUGGGGUGUGAAAGCGCUCGGCUUAACUGAGCGAGGCCAUCCCAUACGGCGCGGCUCGAGCCGUCCAGAGGCCGGUGGAAUUGCCGGUGUAGUGGUGAAAUGCGUAGAUAUCGGGAGGAACACCUGUGGCGAAGGCGGCCGCCUGGUUGGGAUACUGACGCUGAGACGCGAAAGCGUGGGGAGCAAACAGG